GGUCCUGACGUCGGUGCUAGGAAGCCAUUUGCCGGAGGUGUUUCGUCUUCUGCCCGGUUGCACGUCUUUCCUUGGAACUCGUUCCUUAAGCUUGUGGCAUCAUGUCGUCUCAGCUGGCGCGACCGCAGUUCCACGGCCUUCUGAAGAGCUACCUCCGGAAACACAUCACGAUCGCCCUGACCCUGUCGGCCGCCGGUGGAAUCGCGUGGCGAUUCCUCGUGGCCAACCCGCGAAAGCAGCGCUAUGCAGACUUCUACAAGAACUACGAUGGAGAAGCCGAGGCUGAGAAGAUGAUGGAAAUUGGUGUGCUGAACCGUUACUAAUCAUGGUGAGCGCUGCCGUCGACUCCAGCCAGUGGGGCAGUGUGGUGUAGAUAAUAAUAAACUCGUUAUGCCAGCCCUUGUGUCAGAACUU
rnacentral:lncRNA from 1 species